rnacentral:rRNA from 1 species
GACGAACGCUGGCGGCGUGCUUAACACAUGCAAGUCGAACGGUGACGAGGAGCUUGCUCCUCCGAUCAGUGGCGAACGGGUGAGUAACACGUGAGUAACCUGCCCCGGACUCUGGGAUAACAGUUGGAAACAGCUGCUAAUACCGGAUACGAGACGGAGAGGCAUCUCUACCGUCUGGAAAGUUCUUCGGUCCGGGAUGGACUCGCGGCCUAUCAGCUAGUUGGUGAGGUAACGGCUCACCAAGGCGACGACGGGUAGCCGGCCUGAGAGGGCGACCGGCCACACUGGGACUGAGACACGGCCCAGACUCCUACGGGAGGCAGCAGUGGGGAAUAUUGCACAAUGGGCGAAAGCCUGAUGCAGCGACGCCGCGUGAGGGAUGACGGCCUC